rnacentral:rRNA from 1 species
GAUGAACGCUGGCGGCGUGCCUAAUACAUGCAAGUCGAGCGAACAGACGAGGAGCUUGCUCCUCUGACGUUAGCGGCGGACGGGUGAGUAACACGUGGAUAACCUACCUAUAAGACUGGGAUAACUUCGGGAAACCGGAGCUAAUACCGGAUAACAUGUUGAACCGCAUGGUUCAACAGUGAAAGACGGUUUUGCUGUCACUUAUAGAUGGAUCCGCGUCGCAUUAGCUAGUUGGUAAGGUAACGGCUUACCAAGGCAACGAUGCGUAGCCGACCUGAGAGGGGGGUAGCCCCCCCGGGAAGGGGACACCGCGCACAGGCCCCAAGGGGGGGCAGCGAGAGGGAAUCUCCGCAAAAGGGGGAAAGCGUGCAGGAGAAACGGAGGCGGGAUGAAGAAGGUCCGCGUGCGGUAAAACUGUUUUAUUGGGGAAAAAAAAAUGUGUAAGUAACUAAGCCCGUUUGGAGGGUACCUGUAAAGAAACCCCGGGUAACCAACGG